rnacentral:rRNA from 1 species
GGCUGCAGUCGAGGAUCUUCGGCAAUGGGCGCAAGCCUGACCGAGCGACGCCGCGUGCGGGAUGAAGGCCUUCGGGUUGUAAACCGCUGUCAGAGGGGAGGAAGUGUCGGAGGGUUCUCUCUCCGAUUUGACCUAUCCUCAGAGGAAGUACGGGCUAAGUUCGUGCCAGCAGCCGCGGUAAGACGAACCGUACGAACGUUACUCGGAAUCACUGGGCUUAAAGGGUGCGUAGGCGGCCCGGGAAGUUGGGUGUGAAAGCCCUCGGCUCAACCGAGGAACUGCGCCCAAAACUGCCGGGCUUGAGGGAGACAUAGGUGAGCGGAACUUAGGGUGGAGCGGUGAAAUGCGUUGAGAUCCUAAGGAACACCGGUAGCGAAGGCGGCUCACUGGGUCUCUUCUGACGCUGAAACACGAAAGCUAGGGGAGCGAAGAGGAUUAGAUACCCUCGUAGUCCUAGCCGUAAACAAUGAGCACUGGUUUGGAGGGUCCUCCAUAGCCUUCCAGACGUAGCGAAAGUGUUAAGUGCUCCGCCUGGGGAGUAUAGUCGCAAGGCUGAAACUCAAAGGAAUUGACGGGGGCUCACACA